rnacentral:lncRNA from 1 species
UGCAUGGUAAUAGAUAAAUAGACACAAUAAUUAAUAAACAGUUCAGUUUCAUUGAUCAAAAUGGAACAUUGUAGUACAUUAAUGCCAAAACAAAACAAAUACAAUAUUCCUCAAUCAAAGUACAAAGUACAUGAUCAAUCACACAAAGUACAUGAUCAAUCACAAAAUACAUAUGAGAACUAGAUAAAUCCUAAGCACUAAUACCAAAAGUGCUAACAUCAGCCUAGGGGGUAUCUAAUGGUUGUGAUCUAGUCCUCAUCCUCCGAGCAUAUGUGGCGAGGGGAGGUCGGGCCUGAUGGGACUGAGUCUGGCGUGGAGCUCGGUGAGCUGGAUGACUCUGUGCCGAAAUCUCUGACUCAGCUGCCUGGGGCACAGAUGGUCCAUGAACCUCUCUCUCUC